AAUGGGAUAGCUGGGUCAAAUGGUGGUUUCUUUCCAUUUUCUGAGGAAUCUUCAUACCGCUUUCUAGAGCAGUUGCACCAAUUUGCAGUCCUACCAGCAAU
rnacentral:pre_miRNA from 1 species